GACAGAGGCCCAAGCGUUAGGCGGAAUCACUGGGCUUAAAGCGUGUGUAGGCGGACGCCUAAGUGUCUUGUGAAAUCCCACGGCUCACCCGUGGAACUGCUGGGCAUACUGGGCGUCUUGGGCCAACUAGGGGCAGCCGGAACAAGCGGUGGAGCGGAUGAAGCGUAGAUAUCGCUUGGAACGCCGAAGGUGAAAACAGGCUGCUGGGGGUUGUGCCGACGCUGAGACACGAAAGCCAGGGGAGCAAACGGG
rnacentral:rRNA from 1 species